AUUGAACGCUGGCGGCAGGCUUAACACAUGCAAGUCGAGCGGGGUGAUGGUGCUUGCACUAUCACUUAGCGGCGGACGGGUGAGUAAUGCUUAGGAAUCUGCCUAUUAGUGGGGGACAACAUCUCGAAAGGGAUGCUAAUACCGCAUACGUCCUACGGGAGAAAGCAGGGGAUCACUUGUGACCUUGCGCUAAUAGAUGAGCCUAAGUCUGAUUAGCUAGUUGGUGGGGUAAAGGCCUACCAAGGCGACGAUCUGUAGCGGGUCUGAGAGGAUGAUCCGCCACACUGGGACUGAGACACGGCCCAGACUCCUACGGGAGGCAGCAGUGGGGAAUAUGGGACAAUGGGGGGAACCCUGAUCCAGCCAUGCCGCGUGUGUGAAGAAGGCCUUAUGGUUGUAAAGCACUUUAAGCGAGGAGGAGGCUCUUUUGGUUAAUACCCAAGAUGAGUGGACGUUACUCGCAGAAUAAGCACCGGCUAACUCUGUGCCAGCCGCCGCGGUAA
rnacentral:rRNA from 1 species